rnacentral:misc_RNA from 1 species
GCUAUAGUAUCCUAAGUUUGACAUCGAUAAUGAAUCACGUUACAAUCAUGAUAAACUCUGAAAAUGCAAUGAUAAGGAACAGAUUGUUCUUCACAAAUUUUCCAUUUUAUUCUGAAGGUUGAAACGAUCUCAUUAAGCCUGUAAAUUUGAAUUUCAUUCUCAUAUAUUACAUGGUUAGUGAAACAAUAAAUGUGCUUUUAGUUAUAGAAUGUUAG